ACUCCUACGGGAGGCAGCAGUGGGAAUAUUGCACAAUGGGAAGCCAUCGAUGCAGCCAUGCCGCGCUGUGUGAAGAAGGCCAAUUCGGGCUUUGGUUAAAGACACUUUUCAGUAGGGAGGAAGGUAGUGUAGUUAACACCUGCAUUAUUUGACGUUACCUACAGAAGAAGCACCGGCUAACUCCGUGCCAGCAGCCGCGGUAAUACGGAGGGUGCGAGCGUUAAUCGGAAUUACUGGGCGUAAAGCGCAUGCAGGCGGCCUGUUAAGUCAGAUGUGAAAG
rnacentral:rRNA from 1 species